rnacentral:rRNA from 1 species
GAUGAACGCUGGUGGCGUGCCCAAUACAUGCAAGUCGAGCGAACAGACGAGGAGCUUGCUCCUCUGACGUUAGCGGCGGACGGGUGAGUAACACGUGGAUAACCUACCUAUAAGACUGGGAUAACUUCGGGAAACCGGAGCUAAUACCGGAUAAUAUAUUGAACCGCAUGGUUCAAUAGUGAAAGACGGUUUUGCUGUCACUUAUAGAUGGAUCCGCGCCGCAUUAGCUAGUUGGUAAGGUAACGGCUUACCAAGGCAACGAUGCGUAGCCGACCUGAGAGGGUGAUCGGCCACACUGGAACUGAGACACGGUCCAGACUCCUACGGGAGGCAGCAGUAGGGAAUCUUCCGCAAUGGGCGAAAGCCUGACGGAGCAACGCCGCGUGAGUGAUGAAGGUCUUCGGAUCGUAAAACUCUGUUAUUAGGGAAGAACAAAUGUGUAAGUAACUAUGCACGUCUUGACGGUACCUAAUCAGAAAGCCACGGCUAACUACGUG